rnacentral:rRNA from 1 species
CAGCCGCCGCGGUAAAACGGAGGGUGCAAGCGUUAUCCGGAUUUAUUGGGUUUAAAGGGUCCGUAGGCGGAUCUGUAAGUCAGUGGUGAAAUCUCACAGCUUAACUGUGAAACUGCCAUUGAUACUGCAGGUCUUGAGUAAAUUUGAAGUGGCUGGAAUAAGUAGUGUAGCGGUGAAAUGCAUAGAUAUUACUUAGAACACCAAUUGCGAAGGCAGGUCACUAAGAUUUAACUGACGCUGAUGGACGAAAGCGUGGGGAGCGAACAGGAUUAGAUACCCGCGUAGUCCCUGUCUCUUAUAC